rnacentral:tRNA from 1 species
AGCUUUUUAGUUUAUUUAAAAUUUUUGCUUGUGGUGUAAAGGAAAAUUAAGGCUA